AGAACACCAAUUCAAAGAGGGAGAUAAUGGCUCGCGCUUCGCCUCCUUUUUUCCUCUUAGUAAACUACAUGAUAAAAAUGGUGGUUAUCUUGUUGAUGGGACAUGUGUGAUUGAAGCUGAAGUGUCCGUGACUGAUGUCUUCCCUGUUUCCACAGAUGAAGUGAGUUUUAAUUUUGAUAAAUUUGUUAGAUCUCCACGUCUCAAGACUUGAUUCUUCUCUUGAUUUCUGGUUGAUUGUUGCAUUCAGCCUUCUGAUUAUUCCGUUCAUAGCGAUCAGAACAUCGAUUCAAUGAGUGAUUUAGAUGAUGCGGAAUCUAUUUCCAUCAAGGAUGAAUCCUUUCUCAAGUCAAUAUCAAAGGAACCAACUAGUUCACUAUCCGAUGCGACACGUGUUGUGCCUUCGAUUGAAGAUGUCGCAAGUUCGGCAAAAGAGCGCUUUGGCAAGCUGAUUUCGUUACCUUUAGAUGAUUUGGUCCACCCGGAGAAUGAAACUGCAAUGAUAGAGACUCUGUCAAUACUUGGUG
rnacentral:lncRNA from 1 species